rnacentral:rRNA from 1 species
CCUACGGGUGGCAGCAGUGAGGAAUAUUGGUCAAUGGCCGUAAGGCUGAACCAGCCAAGUCGCGUGAAGGCAGAAGGAUCUAUGGUUUGUAACCUUCUUUUAUAGGGGAGUAAAGGUAUCCACGUGUGGGUUUUUGCAUGUACCCUAUGCAUAAGCAUCGGCUAACUCCGUGCCAGCAGCCGCGGUAAUACGGAGGAUGCGAGCGUUAUCCGGAUUUCUUGGGUUUAAAGGGUGCGUAGGUUGUCUGUUCAGUCCGCGGUCAAAGCCUGGGGGUCAAACCCGGCCCGCCGUUGAACCUGGCAGUCUCGAGUUGGAGAGAAGUAUGCGGAAUGCGCGGUGUAGCGGUGAAAUGCAUAGAUAUCGCGCAGAACUCCGAUUGCGAAGGCAGCAUGCCGGCUCCACACUGACGCUGAGGCACGAAAGCGUGGGUAUCGAACAGGAUUAGAUACCCGAGUAGUC